CAGCCGCCGCGGUAAUACGUAGGUGGCGAGCGUUGUCCGGAAUUAUUGGGCGUAAAGGGAGCGCAGGCGGGCGAGUAAGUCUUUCUUAAAAGUGCGGGGCUCAACCCCGUGAGGGGAUGGAAACUGUAUGCCUUGAGUGCAGGAGAGGAAAGCGGAAUUCCCAGUGUAGCGGUGAAAUGCGUAGAUAUUGGGAGGAACACCAGUGGCGAAGGCGGCUUUCUGGACUGUAACUGACGCUGAGGCUCGAAAGCCAGGGGAGCGAACGGGAUUAGAUACCCCCGUAGUCCCUGUCUCUUAUACA
rnacentral:rRNA from 1 species